rnacentral:snoRNA from 1 species
GAUAGUCCGGGUGUUUCCAGCCAUAGCAUUGGGUUUCUUCAGUGAGCAGUGCAUACGUGGCAAGGGGGCUUUGGUUCCCAUGGACGCUCGAAGAAGAAAUGAUCCUUCGUUAAUCUCUAACGUCAGUUAAUCAGUCUGGCGGUGGUUUCAUUCUGAGAUCUACAUUU